GGUUAAGUUAAUAAGGGCACACGGUGGAUGCCUUGGCGUUAGGAGCCGAAGAAGGACGCAGCAAACUGCGAUAAGCCUCGGGGAGUGGUAAGCACACUUUGAUCCGGGGAUCUCCGAAUGGGGGAACCCACCAUCUGUAAUGGGAUGGUAUCCUUCACUGAAUACAUAGGUGAUGAGAGGGCAGACCCGG
rnacentral:rRNA from 1 species